UCCUGUACUUGGUGUUACUGCGAAGGGGGGACGGAGAAGGCUAUGUUGGCCGGGCGACGGUUGUCCCGGUUUAAGCGUGUAGGCUGGUUUUCCAGGCAAAUCCGGAAAACCAAGGCUGAGGCGUGAUGACGAGGCACUACGGUGCUGAAGCGACAAAUGCCCUGCUUCCAGGAAAAGCCUCUAAGCAUCAGGUAACAUCAAAUCGUACCCCAAACCGACACAGGUGGUCAGGUAGAGAAUACCAAGGCGCUUGAGAGAACUCGGGUGAAGGAACUAGGCAAAAUGGUGCCGUAACUUCGGGAGAAGGCACGCUGAUAUGUAGGUGAAGCGACUUGCUCGUGGAGCUGAAAUCAGUCGAAGAUACCAGCUGGCUGCAACUGUUUAUUAAAAACACAGCACUGUGCAAACACGAAAGUGGACGUAUACGGUGUGACGCCUGCCCGGUGCCGGAAG
rnacentral:rRNA from 1 species